UCCGUAGGUGAACCUGCGGAAAGGAUCAUUAUUGAA
rnacentral:rRNA from 1 species